rnacentral:rRNA from 1 species
UAAUACGGAGGAUUCGAGCGUUAUCCGGAUUUAUUGGGUUUAAAGGGUCCGUAGGCGGUCUUUUAAGUCAGUGGUGAAAUCCCAGAGCUCAACUCUGGAACUGCCAUUGAAACUGAAAGACUUGAAUAUGGUUGAGGUAGGCGGAAUACGUUAUGUAGCGGUGAAAUGCAUAGAUAUAACGUAGAACACCAAUUGCGAAGGCAGCUUACUAAACCAUUAUUGACGCUGAUGGACGAAAGCGUGGGGAGCAAACAGGAUUAGAUACCCUGGUAGUCCACGCCGUAAACGAUGAUUACUCGUUGUGCACAAUACACCGUGCGUGACUGAGCGAAAGCAUUAAGUAAUCCACCUGGGGAGUACGUUCGCAAGAAUG